ACCGAAAUAGCUCAGUUGGGAGAGCGUUAGACUAUAGAUCGAAAAGUCCCUGGUCGAUCCCGGGUUCCGGCA
rnacentral:tRNA from 1 species